rnacentral:rRNA from 1 species
UCAUUAAAUCAGUUAUCGUUUAUUUGAUAGUACCUUACUACUUGGAUACCCGUGGUAAUUCUAGAGCUAAUACAUGCUAAAAACCCCGACUUCGGGAGGGGUGUGUUUAUUAGAUAAAAAACCAACGCCCUUCGGGGCUCCUUGGUGAUUCAUGAUAACCUCUCAGAUCGCACGGCCUUGCGCCGGCGACGGUUCAUUCAAAUUUCUGCCCUAUCAACUUUCGAUGGUAAGGUAUUGGCUUACCAUGGUUUCAACGGGUAACGGGGAAUUAGGGUUCGAUUCCGGAGAGUGAGCCUGAGAAACGGCUCACACAUCCAAGGAAGGCAGCAGGCGCGCAAAUUACCCAAUCCCGACACGGGGAGGUAGUGACAAUAAAUACUGAUACAGGGCUCUUUUGGGUCUUGUAAUUGGAAUGAGUACAAUUUAAACCUCUUAACGAGGAACAAUUGGAGGGCAAGUCUGGUGCCAGCAGCCGCGGUAAUUCCAGCUCCAAUAGCGUAUAUUAAAGUUGUUGCAGUUAAAAAGCUCGUAGUUGAAUCUUUGGCCUGGCUGGCGGGUCCGCCUCACCGCGUGCACUUGUCCGGCCGGGCCUUCUCUUCUGGAGAACCGCAUGCCCUUCACUGGGCGUGUUGGGGACCAGGACUUUUACUUUGAAAAAAUUAGAGUGUUCAAAGCAGGCCUUUGCUCGAAUACGUUAGCAUGGAAUAAUAGAAUAGGACGUGCGGUCCUAUUUUGUUGGUUUCUAGGACCGCCGUAAUGAUUAAUAGGGACAGUCGGGGGCAUCAGUAUUCAAUUGUCAGAGGUGAAAUUCUUGGAUUUAUUGAAGACUAACUACUGCGAAAGCAUUUGCCAAGGAUGUUUUCAUUAAUCAGUGAACGAAAGUUAGGGGAUCGAAGACGAUCAGAUACCGUCGUAGUCUUAACCAUAAACUAUGCCGACUAGGGAUCGGGCGGUGUUAUCGAUUUGACCCGCUCGGCACCUUGCGA